rnacentral:lncRNA from 1 species
UGCCUAUUAUGCUCUUAAAAACCCCGACCAUAACACUUACCGAUGGCGCUACACACGGUGGAUGUCGGGUAGGCGGACUGCUUAAACCAUAAGCACUAGCACGAGCACUGGCGCUGGUGCUGGCGCUUGGCUCAUCCUAGCCAUGUCUCUGCUUUUCACCUGCUGGCUGGGGGGGGGAGGGGGGGAAAAUUAAAAACAAUUAGGGCGACGGCACAUUUUUUAUAAAAGUUUCUAUCGUAUGAAAAGUGUGGGGGCAGCAGGUGUGAGCAUGAGCAAACAUUUCCUGUUUUUAAAAUAUGUGUACACAGCAGAUGUAGAUAAUGUGGGAGGGCUGUGGGUACGCCCCCACCCCCACCCCCACCCUCUUCAUCUUUUCCCCCGAAGGCCACGCCCUCAAAAACCAUAUCGCCACACACCUAUGCCCCAAUUCCCGGAUGCUUUCUAAACCUUUCUAUGUGCCAUUACCUUCAGAUAGGAUGCCUGUCCACCGUUUUUCAGUGACCCCCCAAGCGCCUGUAUAGAUAGAGACUACGAUGCACGGCGGCUGCACUAGAAUACAAAAUCGAUCUCUUAUGCGCGGCGCUGGACUGCUAAUAUAAGCUAUAUAAUCUCUCUCUAUAUAUAUAGCAGCUGUGAGAGUCCCAGGGCUAAUAAAAGGAAUUGCGUGCACGGUUUGCCCGAUGAGGCGGCGGCGAAAUCCCACACAUCACCUACUGUAAUACACGCGUCAAGAGUCAGAGAAGGAGACAGCGAAUCUACGAUUAUUAAUAUUAUUAUUAUUGUGUGUGUGUGCCUGUGAUGUGUGCGUGAGAGGGAAAGCCACAUAAUAUACUACAACGAUGUGCGCGGCAGAAAAAGCUACAUACAACUCUCCCAGGAAAACGCGCAGCCUGCAGGCUCCUUUUGCCUAUUAUGUUCUUAAAAACCCCGACCAUAACACUUACCGAUGGCUUUACACACGGAGGGGCGGACAACUGCUGCACCGCGACAGCAUC